UAAAUAACUUUGGAGAUAGCGGGUCGCCU
rnacentral:sRNA from 1 species